CAUCCUCUGCCGUGUUCGGCAGCUUGCGCUAACAUUUGCCUUGACCCUUAAUAAGCGACCCCGGGGGCGUCACCCCAGCCCUGUGUGCAUGUCCGCCCCGUUGCGGAAAGCCUGAUCGGCUGGAAGCGUUCCCACCUGAUCCUCUGGAUCAAGGUCGUUCGCACGCACCGGCAUGGCGGAGGAUGU
rnacentral:other from 1 species